GAGCUUCACACUAGAUAAGGAAGCAAUUGAUUUCUGCAGAAUGGCUCAAAAUCUUUGGAAGGACAUUAGACUCCAUGUUGGGGGAGAGAUAUUCAAUCGAUUUAAAAAAUGAUGGAUUCUGUGUAUCCCUAGCACUGAUUCAGCAGAUAAUUAGAACAUGAUACAGGACUUUGUGUGAUAAAAGGCAUCUAAGGUAGUUACGUGUAGACUAAAAAUAUCUGCGCUAUCACCUGUCCCGGCUCGGUUUUACAUGUUUUUGGCCCAUAUCCAAUAUAAAGACUUAAGGGAAGAAAUCCAGCCCCGAUCCAGUGACGAAUUCACAGCCCAGUGCUACGUUCUCAUAACAACCGGCAUCUCUUACUGUUAACUGUUCUGCAAACACCACCGCGGCUUCCAAGCUAAACAAGGCUACAAUUUGAGAAAAAGUACAUUUCUACCGGCCGCUAUAUUUAAGCAAAAGAUAUUAAACAUAUUAUAUAUGAAUUUCAAAAAAAUGUUGUUUUUUUUACCUAAAGAGGGGAAGGAGUUCUCAAGUUAGAAAAUAAUUUCCAUUUGGUAACAAAGCAAAUAAAUGAAAUGUGGGGGGUCAGGCUGGAAAGUUCAGGUGCCAGUAAAGAUUUAUGGAACUGUUUACUGAAAUAGUUCUCGCAAGGUUAAGUCUCCAUUAAAAAAAACUGUAAUGAUUUAA